CCUACGGGUGACUGCAGUCGAGAAUCAUUCACAAUGGGGGAAACCCUGAUGGUGCGACGCCGCGUGGGGGAAUGAAGGUCUUCGGAUUGUAAACCCCUGUCAUGUGGGAGCAAAUUAAAAAGAUAGUACCACAAGAGGAAGAGACGGCUAACUCUGUGCCAGCAGCCGCGGUAAUACAGAGGUCUCAAGCGUUGUUCGGAAUCACUGGGCGUAAAGUGUGCGUAGGCUGUUUCGUAAGUCGUGUGUGAAAGGCGCGGGCUCAACCCGCGGUCGGCACAUGAUACUGCGAGACUAGAGUAAUGGAGGGGGAACCGGAAUUCUCGGUGUAGCAGUGAAAUGCGUAGAUAUCGAGAGGAACACUCGUGGCGAAGGCGGGUUCCUGGACAUUAACUGACGCUGAGGCACGAAGGCCAGGGGAGCGAAAGGGAUUAGAUACCCCGGUAGUC
rnacentral:rRNA from 1 species